UGGGGAAUUUUGGACAAUGGGCGAAAGCCUGAUCCAGCAAUGCCGCGUGUGUGAAGAAGGCCUUCGGGUUGUAAAGCACUUUUGUCCGGAAAGAAAUCCUUGGCUCUAAUACAGUCGGGGGAUGACGGUACCGGAAGAAUAAGCACCGGCUAACUACGUGCCAGCAGCCGCGGUAAUACGUAGGGUGCAAGCGUUAAUCGGAAUUACUGGGCGUAAAGCGUGCGCAGGCGGUUUGCUAAGACCGAUGUGAAAUCCCCGGGCUCAACCUGGGAACUGCAUUGGUGACUGGCAGGCUAGAGUAUGGCAGAGGGGGGUAGAAUUCCACGUGUAGCAGUGAAAUGCGUAGAGAUGUGGAGGAAUACCGAUGGCGAAGGCAGCCCCCUGGGCCAAUACUGACGCUCAUGCACGAAAGCGUGGGGAGCAAAGCAGGAUUAGAUACCCUGGUAGUCCACGCCCUAAACGAUGUCAACUAGUUGUUGGGGAUUCAUUUCCUUAGUAACGUAGCUAACGCGUGAAGUUGACCGCCUGGGGAGUACGGUCGCAAGAUUAAAACUCAAAGGAAUUGACGGGGUCAUAGCUGUUUCCU
rnacentral:rRNA from 1 species